rnacentral:tRNA from 1 species
UGAGGUGUAGCUCAGUGGUAGAGUGCUCAACUGGCAUGCAUGAGACUUGGGUUCAAUCCCCAGCACUGCCA